rnacentral:rRNA from 1 species
AUUGAACGCUGGCGGAAUGCUUUACACAUGCAAGUCGAACGGCAGCACGGACUUCGGCCUGGUGGCGAGUGGCGAACGGGUGAGUAAUAUAUCGGAACGUGCCCAGUCGUGGGGGAUAACGUAGUGAAAAUUACGCUAAUACCGCAUACGAUCUACGGAUGAAAGCGGGGGAUCGCAAGACCUCGCGCGAUUGGAGCGGCCGAUAUCAGAUUAGGUAGUUGGUGGGGUAAAGGCUCACCAAGCCAACGAUCUGUAGCUGGUCUGAGAGGACGACCAGCCACACUGGAACUGAGACACGGUCCAGACUCCGACGGGAGGCAGCAGUGGGGAAUUUUGGACAAUGGACGCAAGUCUGAUCCAGCCAUUCCGCGUGCAGGACGAAGGCCUUCGGGUUGUAAACUGCUUUUGUACAGAACGAAAAGGUCUCUAUUAAUACUAAGGGCUCAUGACGGUACUGUAAGAAUAAGCACCGGCUAACUACGUGCCAGCCGCCGCCGUAACAC